rnacentral:rRNA from 1 species
AUUGAACGCUGGCGGCAGGCCUAACACAUGCAAGUCGAGCGAGCGGCGGACGGGUGAGUAAUGUAUGGGGACUGCCCGAUAGCGGGGGAUAACUAAUGGAAACGGUGGCUAAUUCCGCCUACUUUAGGAUGACCCAUAUGGGUUUAGCUAGUAGGUGGGGUAAAGGCACACCUAGGCGACGAUCUCUAGCUGGUCUGAGAGGAUGAUCAGACACACUGGGACUGAGACACGGCCCAGACUCCUACGGAGGCAGCAGUGGGAAAUAUUGGACAAUGGGCGCAAGCCUGUUGCAGCCAUGCCGCGUGUAUGAAGAAGGUCUUAGGGUUGUAAAGUACUUUAAGCGGGGAGGCGUUAACCGCAGAAUAAGCACCGGCUAACUCCGUGCCAGCAGCAGCGGUAAUUC